rnacentral:rRNA from 1 species
AUUGAACGCUGGCGGCAGGCCUAACACAUGCAAGUCGAGCGCGCGGCGGACGGGUGAGUAAUGUAUGGGGACUGCCCGAUAGAGGGGGAUAACUCCUGGAAACGGUAGCUAAUACCGCAUACUCUCUGAUCACCCAUAGGUGCUUAGCUAGUAGGUGAGGUAAUGGCUCACCUAGGCGACGAUCCCUCGCUGGUCUGAGAGGAGGAUCAGCCACACUGGGACUGAGACACGGCCCAGACUCCUACGGAGGGAGCAGGGGGGAAUAUUGCACAAUGGGCGCAAGCCUGAUGGAGCCAUGCCGCGUGUAUGAAGAAGGCCCUAGGGUUGUAAAGUACUUUCAGUCGGGAGGCGUUAACGACAGAAGAAGCACCGGCUAACUCCGUGCCAGCAGCCGCGGUAAUAC